rnacentral:misc_RNA from 1 species
GUGAGUCAUCGAAUCUUUGAACGCAUCUUGCGCCCCUUGGCAUUCCGAGGGGCACACCCGUUUGAGUGUCAUGAAACUCUCAACCGUUCUCCCUUUCUUGUCGAACCGGGAAGGAUGGCUUGGAACUUUGGAGGCUUCUGCCGGUUCCCAUCGGCUCCUCUUAAAAGAAUUAGUAGGGUCUCAUUUGCCGAUCCCUUGACGUGAUAAUGUUUGACGUCAUUUUGAGAGGCAGAGACCUUGCUUCCAAUGGUCUCGUCAAGGGACACCAGUGAGAUCAAAGAUCCCACUAAAACCCCCCAUUGACCUCAAAUCGGGUGAGACUACCCGCUGAACUUAAGCAUAUCAAUAAGCGGAGGA